AGGGGAGUGGUAGGAGUCAUGUCAGUUCUAUCAUCCUUCGUAUGCUCAGCAAUAUUUUUCCCUGGACAACUAAACAGCAAUGGAAAGAGAUAGCUGCUGUGUUCUACCAAGGUCUCUCUGAAUCAUUAGGAGGGCAGGAUUGCUGAAUUAUCAUGCAUCCUGGCCCCCCAAUCCCUGACAAUGUGGAGACAUCUCAUACAAACACCAUGCAUGGGAAAGAACACAAGGAUUCAUUAGCAGAGUCUACUGAAUGGGGUGAAGCUACUGGAUUCAAUAAUAGUGAUGCAUACCUGGCAACUUUCAAGGCAAAGUCAGAUGAAAGCCGUUGCCUUCAAAUUUCAAAGGGAAAUGUCCUAUGGACUGUUGGAGAAUCAGGCUCAACUUGGUAGGAGUUGUCAUCCAUCCAGUAACGUAGGAUCCAGGCUUCUCUCGUCCUGAAAUUCUGGUAAUUCAACACAUAGUUUCUAAGGUCACUGCAGCAGGGGAAGAGGAGACACGGAAUAAAUAUACUGACCUUUAACUGCUUCAGCUUGGAAGUAGCAUGUGAUAUUUCAGUUCACAGUUCACUGGUAAGUACAAUUUAAAUGGUCCCAUUCUAAUUGCAAGGACAGCUAGGAAAUAUAAGGCAAUCAGUGAACUAUUUGGUGAGUGUUAACUGUCUUUGCCACAUUCCAGCGGGACUUGGGGUAGUGAGGAGCAUUGUGAGUCAAGUGUCAAAGUUCUGGAUGAAUAUGUGUGUGGUCCAUCUUGGAAGGAAGAAGAGGCAACCAAAAGGAUGGGGAG
rnacentral:lncRNA from 1 species